GACGAACGCUGGCGGCGUGCCUAAUACAUGCAAGUCGAACGCUGAAGGAGGAGCUUGCUUCUCUGGAUGAGUUGCGAACGGGUGAGUAACGCGUAGGUAACCUGCCUUGUAGCGGGGGAUAACUAUUGGAAACGAUAGCUAAUACCGCAUAAUAGUAGAUGUUGCAUGACAUUUGCUUAAAAGUUGCAAUUGCAUCACUACCAGAUGGACCUGCGUUGUAUUAGCUAGUUGGUGAGGUAACGGCUCACCAAGGCAACGAUACAUAGCCGACCUGAGAGGGGGAUCGGCCACACUGGGACGGAGACCCGGCCCAGACUCCUACGGGAGGGAGCAAGAGGGAAUCGUCGGCAAUGGACGGAAGUCUGACCGAGCAACGCCGAGGGAGUGAAGAAGGAUUUCGGAUCGUAAAGCUCGGUUGUAAGGGAAGAACGAGUGUGAGAGUGGAAAGUUCACACUGUGACGGUAUCUGACCAGAAAGGGACGGCUAACUACGUG
rnacentral:rRNA from 1 species